rnacentral:rRNA from 1 species
UUAAUAGUAAAAUCUGCUCAAUGAAAAUUAAAUAGCCGCAAUUCGUGCUAAGGUAGCAUAAUCAUUUGUCUUUUAAAUGAAGACUAGAACAAAAGAUUUAACAUUUUUAUUUAUUUAUUUAAUAUUUUUCUCAAAAUUAUUUUAAAUGUAAAAAAACAUUUAUAAAAAAGAAAGACGACAAGACCCUAUCGAACUUAACUUAAGUUAUACUGGGGCAGUAAAUUAAUUAUUAUUUUAAUAAAAGAAAUUAAUAUAAUAUCCAUUAUAAUUGAAUUAUCAAGUUACCGUAGGGAUAACAGCGCAAUUAUUUUUUAAAGCUCUUAUAUAAAAAAUAGAUUACGACCUCGAUGUUGAAUUAAUUACCUAUUUUAAGCAAAUUUUUAAAAAGGAAGUCUGUUCGACUUUUAAAUUAUUACAUGAUUUGAGUUCAGACCGGUGUAAGCCAGGUCGGUUUCUAUCUUCUAUAAAAUUUUUUACAGUACGAAAGGACCUAAGAAUAUAAUUUAAUUAUUUAAUUGGCAGAAAAAUGCAUUAGAAUUAGAAUCUAAAUAAACUUAU